GAUGAACGCUGGCGGCGUGCCUAAUACAUGCAAGUCGAGCGACCAGACAAGAAGAUUGCGCUUCUGACGUUAGCGGCUGACGGGUGAGUAACACGUGGAUAACCUACUUAUAAUACUGGGAUAACUACGGGAAACCGGAGCUAAUACCAGAUAAUAUAUCGUACCGCAUGGUUCAAUAGUUAAUGACGGCUUUCCUGUCACUUAUAGAUGGUUCCGCGCCGCAUUAGCUAGUUGGUAAGGUAACGGCUUACCAAGGCGACGAUGCGUAGCUGGCCUGAGAGGAUGAUCAGCCACACUGGAACUGAGACACGGUCCAGACUCCUACGGGAGGCAGCAGUGGGGAAUCUUCGACAAUGGGCGCAAGCUUGACCCAGCAACGCCGCGUGGGUGAUGAAGGCCUUCGGGUCGUAAAGCUCUGUUAUUGGGAAAGAAAAGAAGCAGAAGAAACCACGGACGUCUUGACGGUACCUAAUGAAAAAGCACCGGCUAACUACGUG
rnacentral:rRNA from 1 species